CAGCCGCCGCGGUAAUACGUAGGUGGCAAGCGUUGUCCGGAAUUAUUGGGCGUAAAGGGCUCGCAGGCGGUUUCUUAAGUCUGAUGUGAAAGCCCCCGGCUCAACCGGGGAGGGUCAUUGGAAACUGGGAAACUUGAGUGCAGGAGAGGAGAGUGGAAUUCCACGUGUAGCGGUGAAAUGCGUAGAGAUGUGGAGGAACACCAGUGGCGAAGGCGACUCUCUGGUCUGUAACUGACGCUGAGGAGCGAAAGCGUGGGGAGCGAACAGGAUUAGAUACCCCUGUAGUCCCUGUCUCUUAUAC
rnacentral:rRNA from 1 species